rnacentral:rRNA from 1 species
UUAUUGGAGGGCAAGUUCAUUGGAGGCCAAGUCUGGUGCCAGCAGCCGCGGUAAUUCCAGCUCCAAAAGCGUAUAUUAAAGUUGUUGCAGUUAAAAAGCUCGUAGUUGAACCUUGGGCUUGGUUGGCCGGUCCAUCUUUGUGAUGCGUAUUGGACCCAACCGAGCCUUUCCUUUUGGCUAGCCUUUUGGGGAACCAGGACUUUUACUUUGAAAAAAUUAGAGUGUUCAAAGCAGGCCUUUGCUCGAAUAUAUUAGCAUGGAAUAAUAGAAUAGGACGUUAUGGUUUUAUUUUGUUGGUUUUUAGGACCCUCGUAAUGAUUAAUAGGGACGGUCGGGGGUAUCAGUAUUCAGUUGUCAGAGGUGAAAUUCUGGGAUUUAUUAAGGACUAACAAUUGGGAAAGCAUUUCCCUAGGAUUUUUCCUUUAACAGGAACGCAAGUGAGCGGAGGCCAACUAUCAUAAUCGACGCAGCUUUGG